rnacentral:rRNA from 1 species
GUAAAGCGCUGGAUGGGCUAGGGGGCGUCAAGCUUACUGAACCCAACCAAACUCUGAAUGCCGACGUAUUUAGUAGGGCAGUCGGACAGUGGGAGAUGACUUUCAUUGUCAAGAGGGAAACAACCCGGACUCACCGCUAAGGUCCCGAAGUGAUAGCUCAGUGGAAAACGAUGUGCGUGUGUUGAGACAGCCAGGAGGUUGGCUUAGA